AAAAAGUCAAAUGGAGCAAGAAAAAGCAAAGGCGAACUUUUGAUCGUAUUUGAGUAAUGGAACAUGCCUGUUGCAACAAUCAAGAUCAUGCUCGAAGAAAUUUCUUGAGAGUCGAACCCCAAGAUGGAAUUUUGAUAAUCGGGUUUGUCCGGAUACUCCAAUCUUCAAAAACAAGCGGAAGACCCCAACCGAGAAUAAUCUCUCUACGGUUCCAUCGUUCGAUUGAAAAAUCCCAAAAUCGUCUAGGUUCAAUGCCUCUCUCCUCCGAUUCCCUCCUAUAAUUUCAUCCCAGAUUCCAGUGUUAGUAAAGCAACUACUAUUUAAUUUGCUUUCUUUCUGAAGCCCCAAAGUUCGCCGCCCUCCGCCGCUCCCGAUGGCCUUCUCCGAGUUCCGUCCGCUCGACGAGAGCUCCCUCAUCGAGUACAUAAAGGCUGUUCCAUCGCUGUCUGAAAAGCUCGGGAACAAGUUCCAUGACAUCAAGAUUAAGGAAGUCGGAGAUGGCAACCUCAAUUUCGUUUACAUAGUCGUGGGCUCCUCCGGAUCCUUCGUUAUCAAGCAGGCACUUCCUUACAUUCGUUGCAUAGGGGAGUCAUGGCCGAUGACGAAGGAGCGAGCAUAUUUUGAGGCAGUGGCAUUGAGAAAGCACGGACAGUUGUGCCCGAAUCACGUGCCUGAUGUUUAUCACUUCGACCGUACGAUGUCGUUGAUCGGCAUGCGUUACUUGGAACCUCCUCAUAUAAUCCUGAGGAAAGGUUUGAUUGCUGGAAUAGAGUAUCCAUUGCUGGCAGAUCACGUAUCAGAAUACAUGGCAAAGACUCUUUUCGGCACGUCCCUCCUUUGUAAUUCGACCACCGUGCACAAGGCAUCCGUUGCAGAGUUCUGUGGGAAUGUGGAGCUGUGCAGGCUGACCGAGCAAGUCGUGUUCUCUGACCCUUACAAGGUGUCUGAAUAUAACCGUUGGACGUCACCGCAUCUUGAUCAUGACGCUGAGGCUAUUAGAGAGGACAACAUUUUGAAGGCCGAGAUUGCCGAGUUGAAAACAAUGUUUAUCGAGAGAACCCAGGCGCUCGUUCACGGAGAUCUCCACACCGGAUCGAUCAUGGUCACUCAAGAAUCAACUCAAGUCAUCGACCCCGAGUUCGCGUUCUACGGACCGAUGGGGUUCGACAUCGGAGCCUUUCUGGGAAACCUGAUGUUGGCAUUCUUUUCGCAAGAUGGACACGCCGUGGAAGGGAACGAUCGAAAGGCGUACAAGGAGUGGAUUCUGAGGACAAUCGAAGAGACUUGGAAUCUGUUCCACAAGAAGUUCGUUGCACUGUGGGAGCAGAAGAAGGAGGAGGGCCCCGGAGAGGCCUAUCUUCCUGGUAUAUACAACAACAGUGAGGUGGUGCAACUGGUUCAGAGCAAGUAUUUGAGCCAGUUGCUCCAUGACAGCCUUGGUUUCGGAGCUGCAAAAAUGAUAAGGAGAAUAGUGGGAGUGGCGCAUGUGGAGGACUUUGAAUCAAUCAGUGAUCCCACAAAACGAGCAGCUUGCGAGAGGCCAGCUCUGGAGUUGGCAAAGUUGCUUCUUAAGGAAAGGCGAAAUUUCAAGUCCAUUUCUCAGCUCAUCUCUGCCAUUCGCCAAAUCCAGUAAUGCCCACAUUUCACAAUGCCACUCCACUGCCCAAUGCCUAUUCUAGAUCUAGCUUGAGACUGUCGCACCAUUGGUGUUGUCAUCGCUGUAGAACCAAUGCUGUGGAGGGACAUCGCUGAAAAGGGAGUCACACUAUCGUAGAGGGACGUCGUUGCUAAUGCUAGCUGCUGCAGAUCGUCGUCUGUGAUAGAUUGUGCCAUCAUGGGUUUGUCGUUAAUUGGGCUUCAAAAUCUUUAUUCAACACAAAUCGAAGGUUCAAAAGCAGGGCAGCCGGAGAUUCAAUUUCCACGGCAAAAACCAACGCGAAGCCCGGGCAUUAUUUGAAACAGAUCUCCCUCAGCUUAUCCGCCGCGGAUGGAUCCACCGAAUACUGAUUAGUGAUUAUAAUCAUCAGAAAGCAAACCACAAAGGAGAUCGAUGAAAUACGAUCGCGAAUCGAAGAGGAAAAGGAAUUUGAAAAGUGAAGAAAGAUUUAAAAGCAGAAUUAGCGAAGAACCUUGUUG